rnacentral:rRNA from 1 species
UACGUAGGGGGCAAGCGUUGUCCGGAUUCAUUGGGCGUAAAGAGCGUGUAGGCGGCCAGGUAGGUCGGUUGUGAAAACUGGAGGCUCAACCUUCAGAGGUCGACCGAAACCAUCUGGCUAGAGUCCGGGAGAGGAGAGUGGAAUUCCUGGUGUAGCGGUGAAAUGCGCAGAUAUCAGGAGGAACACCGAUGGCGAAGGCAGGUCUCUGGGCCACUACUGACGCUGAGAAGCGAGAGCAUGGGGAGCGAACAGG